rnacentral:rRNA from 1 species
GAUGAACGCUGGCGGUCUGCUUAACACAUGCAAGUCGAACGGAAUCCUUCGGGAUUUAGUGGCGGACGGGUGAGUAACGCGUGAGAAUCUGCCUUCAGGUUCGGGACAACAGCUGGAAACGGCUGCUAAUACCGGAUGUGCCGAGAGGUGAAAGCUUUAGUGCCUGAAGAUGAGCUCGCGUCUGAUUAGCUAGUAGGAGUGGUAAUGGCACCCCUAGGCGACGAUCAGUAGCUGGUCUGAGAGGAUGAUCAGCCACACUGGGACUGAGACACGGCCCAGACUCCUACGGGAGGCAGCAGUGGGGAAUUUUCCGCAAUGGGCGCAAGCCUGACGGAGCAAGACCGCGUGAGGGAAGAAGGUCUGUGGAUUGUAAAAUCCUUUCACCGGGGACGAUAAUGACGGUACCCGGAGAAGAAGCCCCGGCUAACUUCGUGCCAGCAGCCGCCGUAA